rnacentral:rRNA from 1 species
GAUGAACGCUGGCGGCGUGCCUAAUACAUGCAAUUCGAGCGAACAGACGAGGAGCUUGCUCCUUUGACGUUAGCGGCGGACGGGUGAGUAACACGUGGGUAACCUACCUAUAAGACUGGGAUAACUUCGGGAAACCGGAGCUAAUACCGGAUAAUAUUUCGAACCGCAUGGUUCGAUAGUGAAAGAUGGCUUUGCUAUCACUUAUAGAUGGACCUGCGCCGUAUUAGCUAGUUGGUAAGGUAACGGCUUACCAAGGCAACGAUACGUAGCCGACCUGAGAGGGUGAUCGGCCACACUGGAACUGAGACACGGUCCCAACUCCUACGGGAGGCAGCAGUAGGGAAUUUUCCGCAAUGGGCGAAAGCCUGACGGAGCAACGCCGCGUGAGGGAUGAAGGUUUUCGGAUCGUAAAACUCUGUUAUUAGGGAAGAAAAAACGUGUAAGUAACUGUUCACGUCUUGACGGUACCUAAUCAAAAAGACACGGCUAACUACGUG